rnacentral:SRP_RNA from 1 species
GCUGGGUGUGGUGGUGCAUGCCUGUAAUCCCAGCUACUCAGGAGGCUGAGACAGGAGAAUCGCUUGAACCCGGGAGGCGGAGGCUGCAGUGAGCCGAGAUCAUGCCACUGCACUCCACCCUGGGGAACAAGAGCAAAACUCCACCUCAAAAUAAAUAAAUAAUUUUUUUUUGGGGGUGGGGGGAUAGGGUCUCACUGUGUUGCCCAGGCUGGACUGCAGUGGUGCAAUCUCGGCUCACUGCAACCUCUGCCUCCUGGGUUCAAGCGAUUCUCCUGCCUCUG